rnacentral:rRNA from 1 species
UACGUAGGUGGCGAGCGUUGUCCGGAUUUACUGGGUGUAAAGGGCGUGUAGGCGGGAUAGCAAGUCAGAUGUGAAAUACCAAGGCUUAACUUUGGGGUGCAUUUGAAACUGUUAUUCUUGAGUGUCGGAGAGGGAAGCGGAAUUCCUAGUGUAGCGGUGAAAUGCGUAGAUAUUAGGAGGAACACCAGUGGCGAAGGCGGCUUUCUGGACGAUAACUGACGCUGAGGCGCGAAAGCGUGGGGAGCGAACAGGAUUAGAUACCCUGGUAGUCCCU